AGGACUGAUUACACAUAAAUGUUUAGCGGACAGUAAACAUUUGUGAGUAAUCUGUUCUUACACACAAAAAGAAGGUCUAUAGCUUUAGGAAAGGGAAAAUUAUCAAGGUUAUUCAGACAAUAUAAAAUGAGUUGAGAAAAUUGAAGGGAAUGUUUAUACUUGAAUGAGACCUCAUGGAGAAAGACAAAAUAAGGAAGCCAUGGGAGAAUAUUUGCAUUCUCGGAACCACAAAAGUGAGGAAAGCCAAGAGCACAGCUGGAGUUGCACCAGAUCAAGUAGACAUUCCAUCAGAGCCUGAACUGAGAAUGCACCAUUCCUAGUCACCUUGAUAACAGCCCCAUUUUCUGUUAAUAAUACUCUAUGAGAAAAAUCUUGCAAAAAUAGUCAGAAAAGGCAGAGUCACAUGCGGUUCAGUGUGUUCCACCUUGGCAGACGGUCUUAGGAGGAGUUUUGGAAGGAUCGUGCUGCAGGCAAUGGAUGAGAUAAUGAUGAGAAAUUUUCCAGCUCUGUAUAAAAAGGCAAGCGAAAUAUAUGCUUGUGAAUUUUUGGCUGCUUUUUUAUGCUGUAUUUUCAGAUCAAUUUUAUCCCAGUUAAUGUGAAUAUAAACUCUGAUUGUUAUGGUUAUCUCUCGUGGGGUGUCUAUUAUUUUGUCAGAAAUUGUAUCAGGAACUUUAUAUCAAUCACUAAAUUACACAUUUCCAAGCUGCAUAUGAAUUAGGUAUUACUAUGAUCAUUUUACAGAUGAAGAAGAUGAGACUCAGAGCAAUACAUAAGUUGCCCAAGGUCAGAGAGCAAUGACCAUAUCAGAGCACAGUGUACUCCUCUUGCCGUAUUCAGAGGAUUUGCCUAUGGGCAGCAACAUUAUUCUCUCGUUCUCUGGAUAUUAGGAACAAUAUCACAGGACCGGCGGACAGCCCCAGUCAUAUCUGACCAUACCACAGCACGGUGUACUCCUCUUGCCGUAUUCAGAGGAUUUGCCUAUGGGCAGAAACAUUCCCCUCUCCUUCUCUGGAUAUUAGAAACAUUAUCACAGGACCG